rnacentral:rRNA from 1 species
ACGGGUGAGUAACGCGUGGGCAACCUGCCCUUCAGACGGGGACAACAUUCCGAAAGGAGUGCUAAUACCGGAUACGACCUUUAGACCGCAUGGUUUAAAGAAGAAAGGUGGCCUCUAUUUAUAAGCUACCGCUGAAGGAUGGGCCUGCGUCUGAUUAGCUAGUUGGUGGGGUAAAGGCCUACCAAGGCGACGAUCAGUAGCCGGUCUGAGAGGAUGAACGGCCACACUGGGACUGAGACACGGCCCAGACUCCUACGGGAGGCAGCAGUGGGGAAUCUUCCGCAAUGGGCGAAAGCCUGACGGAGCAACGCCGCGUGAGUGAAGAAGGUCUUCGGAUUGUAAAGCUCUGUUUAAAGGGACGAAUGGCUAGAUUGUGAAUAAUGAUUUGGCAUGACGGUACCUUUGGAGGAAGCCACGGCUAACUACGUGCCAGCAGCCGCGGUAAUACGUAGGUGGCAAGCGUUGUCCGGAAUCAUUGGGCGUAAAGCGCGCGUAGGCGGGUAAGUAAGUCUGUUGUGAAACUGCGGGGCUCAACCCCGUAUUGCAAUGGAAACUGCUUAUCUUGAGUGCAGGAGAGGAAAGGGGAAUUCCC